rnacentral:pre_miRNA from 15 species
AUUCUGGGCCUUAUCAGUCUUGGGGGGCUCCAAAGUGCUGUUCGUGCAGGUAGUGUGAUAACCUGACCUACUGCUGAGCUAGCACUUCCAGAGCCCCUGGGACACUAUAUCCCUGGAAUUCC